GCCGGGCGUGGUGGUGCACGCCUGUAGUCCCAGCUACUUGGGAGGCUGAGAUGGGAGGAUUGCUUGCGCCCAGGAGGUUGAGGCUGCAACUGCACUCCAGCCUGGGUGACAAAGUGAGACCCUGUUUCAA
ensembl:misc_RNA Metazoa_SRP Metazoan signal recognition particle RNA